UUCGGAGGAUGCGAAGGUCCGGCCCCCGAUGCUGGCCUCUUCCUUGUCGCAAAUUGCCGAAUCUCAGCGUCAGUCGGCCGCAUUCUUGGAGGUGUCCCUGCGAUACCGACAAAGUGUUAAUCAAAGAACCGGACCAAGGGCCGAAUGAAAAGGAGACCGGGGGAUCGGGCGAUACCUAGUCGGGGGACCAAGCUCAGGCCGGCGUCAUAGAGAGCUUGUUCGGUAACAAGCUCCCUCUGCUUCGGGACCGACAUAUCUUUGAGUCGGUGGAAAUCCUCCCGGUCGUCCGC
rnacentral:lncRNA from 1 species